UAUUGUUAAAACUUAACUGAAAAGGAAAACUAUAGAAAAUGUAAAUAUACCUUUUGCAUAAUGGUUAAACAAUAAAAAUUAAAAUUUAUGUACCCCGAAGUUAGAAGAUCUAAUUUUAUUAAAUUUAUUAGAAAAAUAAUGUUACAAAAUUAUAAAUAAAUAAAAUUAGGGGUGAAAGGCUUACCAAUUCUACUAAUAUCUGGAAUAAUUUUAAAUGUAUUUAGUACAGAACAAAUUUGAGUAAAGAAAUGUUAAGAUUUUUUUAACAAGAAUAAUAAUUUAUAAAAUUGUUUAAAAUCCUUAUUUUAAGAUUGUUGAAAAUUAUUUAUUUUAAUAUCUUCAGUAAAAUUAUACUUAAACUUUUUUAAAUUUAAUUAUGUUUAAAUUAGUAUUAUUCUUAUUUUAAAAUAAGGAACUCGGCUAAUUAUUCGCCUGUUUAUCAAAAACAUAGCCUUAUGAUAUAAGGUUAGACCUGCCCAUUGAGUAUUUUAACGGCCGCAGUACCUUGACUGUGCUAAGGUAGCAUAAUAAAUUGACCUUUAAUUGGGGCCUUGAAUGAAAGGAUUGAUAAUUUCUGUCUUUAUUAACUAGUUAAAAUUUACUUAAAAGGUGAAAACUCCUUUAAAUUUUAAAAAAGACGAGAAGACCCUAGGAGUUUACUAUUUUGUUGGGGCGACAAUGUAACAUAACUUACAUUAUUUAAAACUUAACAAUAAUUAUUAUAAAGAAUAAGCUACCCUAGGGAUAACAGCAUAAUUUAUUAAGUUUGUGACCUCGAUGUUGGA
rnacentral:rRNA from 1 species